GCCAGCGUAGCUCAGCGGCAGAGCAACUCCAUGGUAAGGAGUAGGUCGUGGGUUCAAUUCCCACCGCUGGCUCAA
rnacentral:tRNA from 2 species